AACCAAUUAUUUUUAAAUGCAGAGUUUUUGUCAAAGUAAUAGUAUGUUUUGCCAUAAGAAUGUUAUAUUUGUCUGAAAUGUCCAUUUAUCCUUUCCAGGUCUCUUAAAUCAUUUAGGAAAAAUGACAAGGAAUGUGAAGGUGAGAACAGGAUGAAGAAGAAUGCUUAUGAGGAUCAAGCUACUGAAAAGGGCAGUGGAAUGGUAUUUCUCCAGAGGGUAAUUUCAGUGUUUAGAAGAUAUCAGCAGUCCUCAAAGGUAAAAGAAGAAAGAGUGCACUCAAGUAGUAGAAUGGCAGUUCCACAAAGCAAAACAGAUGUUUCUGGUUUCAACAAUGGAUUAGGUGACCGCAUGCAGAAGAGAAGAGCUGCAAAUUGUGA